rnacentral:piRNA from 1 species
UGUUCUGCCAUCUUGAGAACAAGCUGCCGUC